rnacentral:misc_RNA from 1 species
GCAGUCAAAAAGCUAAAGAAAAUUCAUAGUCGUAUUUCACCUAUUAGUUCAAAGAGGGGAUGAUAUGGCACAAAAGUUGUAGGUCCAACCAAAUCAUACAUAGGUUAUUUAAAUUUCUUAAGACCUCUAUAAUAUGCAAAGCAAUCAUAUAAAACAAUAUAAUAUGCAAACCAAUUAAAAAAAAACAAUAAUUAAUUUACUUAAAAAUGAAACAAUCACUUUACACUAUUUUAUUCUGCAUACAAAAUAUGGGUUAUGUUAGAAAUUUUAAGAUGGUCUUUAACAAUGUCAUUUACAACAAUUUAGGCUUCUGGAAUUCUCUUCUAUUUUAUUUUGCAUACUAUUCUUUCAGAUUGCUCAGCUACUACAGUAGUGGGAGGAAACAAUUAGGAAUGAUACAUUAUAUCAUAAAAAUUUCAAACACUAGGCAUGCAAUUUUGUGUACACUUCACACAUCUUUUUUUUUUUUUUGGA